AUUGGCUUUGCUAAUUGGCGAAGACCUUCAAAGUAAAAUCUUUAAGGGAUAAGGGCUGUGCCAACAUUGGUCCUGAAUAGGUAAAACUAGGUUUAAAAUAAAAUAGGAGUAUAUGCUGUAAUAAGCUCAGCCCUUUUAUUCAUUAACUAGUACACUUCCUGUUGUUAAAAUGACAAAUAAAAAUAUACUACACAGACAGACACCAUGAUGGUUACCUUCAUCACACAGAAACAACCA